GCAGCAGUGGGGAAUAUUGGACAAUGGGCGAAAGCCUGAUCCAGCCAUGCCGCGUAUGUGAAGAAGGUCUUCGGAUUGUAAAGCACUUUAAGUUGGGAGGAAGAACUGCUGGUUAAUACCCUGCAGUUUUGACGUUACCAACAGAAUAAGCACCGGCUAACUUCGUGCCAGCAGCCGCG
rnacentral:rRNA from 1 species